CGCCUGAUGGACGUCGACCGGCGCACGGGUGAGUAACGCGUAUCCAACCUGCCCCACACUAAGGGACAACCCGCAGAAAUGUGGGCUAAUACCUUAUAUUUUCCACCAAGGGCAUCGUUGAUGGAACAAAGAUUUAUCGGUAUGGGAUGGGGAUGCGUCCGAUUAGGUUGUUGGCGGGGUAACGGCCCACCAAGCCAUCGAUCGGUAGGGGGGUCUGAGAGGAAGGUCCCCCACAUAGGAACUGAGACACGGUCCUAACUCCUACGGGAGGCAGCAGGC
rnacentral:rRNA from 1 species